rnacentral:rRNA from 1 species
GAUGAACGCUGGCGGCGUGCCUAACACAUGCAAGUCGAGCGAUUCUCUUCGGAGAAGAGCGGCGGACGGGUGAGUAACGCGUGGGUAACCUGCCCUGUACACACGGACAACAUACCGAAAGGUAUGCUAAUACGAGAUAAUAUGCUUUUAUCGCAUGGUAGAAGUAUCAAAGUUUUUGCGGUACAGGAUGGACCCGCGUCUGAUUAGCUAGUUGGUAAGGUAACGGCUUACCAAGGCGACGAUCAGUAGCCGACCUGAGAGGGUGAUCGGCCACAUUGGAACUGAGACACGGUCCAAACUCCUACGGGAGGCAGCAGUGGGGAAUAUUGCACAAUGGGCGAAAGCCUGAUGCAGCAACGCCGCGUGAGCGAUGAAGGCUUUCGGGUCGUAAAGCUCUGUCCUCAAGGAAGAUAAUGACGGUACUUGAGGAGGAAGCCCCGGCUAACUACGUGCCAGCCGCCGCCGUAA